AUUGAACGCUGGCGGCAUGCCUUACACAUGCAAGUCGAACGGUAACAGGUCUUCGGAUGCUGACGAGUGGCGAACGGGUGAGUAAUACAUCGGAACGUGCCUAGUAGUGGGGGAUAACUACUCGAAAGAGUGGCUAAUACCGCAUGAGAUCUACGGAUGAAAGCAGGGGAUCGCAAGACCUUGUGCUACUAGAGCGGCCGAUGGCAGAGUGAGGUAGUUGGUGGGAUAAAAGCUUACCAAGCCGACGAUCUGUAGCUGGACUGAGAGGACGAUCAACCACACUGCGACGGAGACACGGCCCAGACUCCUACGGGAGGCGGCAGUGGGGAAUUGUGGACAAUGGGCGAAAGCCUGAUCCAGCAAUGCCGCGGGCAGGAUGAAGGCCUUCGGGUUGUAAACUGCUUUUGUACGGAACGAAAAGCCCCGGGUUAAUACCCUGGGGUCAUGACGGUACCGUAAGAAUAAGCACCGGCUAACUACGUGCCAGCCGCCGCCGUAA
rnacentral:rRNA from 1 species